UGACACAGGGACCUUAUUUCAGGGAAAAAAUCGGAAAAUAUGGCCAGGAGCUGGUGGUUCACGCCUGUAAUCCCAGCACUUUGGAAGACUGAGGUGGGCAGAUCACCAGGUCAACAGAUCAAGACC